rnacentral:sRNA from 1 species
UUUUUGAAGACACCCACCAUCACCAAACUUUCAAGGCCCGGGCAUCUGUUCGGGCUUUU